AUGCGAUAAGCUUCGUUCCUCCUCCAGUGUCGUCGACUCAAAUCUGGUAUUCUGCAUUAUGCAAUCGAUGAGUUUAUCGAUGGCAUCAUGCUUACCAAAAACCUCAGCAGAAUACACAUACGCAAUAAACUCAUCAAAAUACCUGCUCACCAAUUUCGCAAUGAUCUGAUCAAUAUCUUCUGAUCUCAUCGCCUGAUCCCAAAUCUCUUCAGUUUCUUGUUUGAAGCUUCUCCAGCUCUUUAUUGCUUAAAAAUCCCC
rnacentral:lncRNA from 1 species